GACGAACGCUGGCGGCGUGCCUAAUACAUGCAAGUCGAACGCAUCCUUCGGGAUGAGUGGCGGACGGGUGAGUAACACGUAGGUAACCUGCCUCUCUGGUGGGGAUAACGCCUGGAAACGGGUGCUAAUACCCAAUAGGUUCCUUUAGGGCAUCCUAAGGGAAGGAAAGACGCGGUUGCGUUACAGAGAGAGGGGCCUGCGGCGCAUUAGCUAGUUGGUGGGGUAACGGCCUACCAAGGCUUCGAUGCGUAGCCGACCUGAGAGGGUGAACGGCCACACUGGGACUGAGACACGGCCCAGACUCCUACGGGAGGCAGCAGUAGGGAAUCUUCCGCAAUGGGCGAAAGCCUGACGGAGCAACGCCGCGUGAGUGAAGACGGUCUUCGGAUUGUAAAGCUCUGUUGUACGGGAAGAAGUCCAUGGAGAGGAAAUGCUCUGUGGGAGACGGUACCGUGCGAGGAAGCCCCGGCUAACUACGUGCCAGCAGCCGCGGUAAUACGUAGGGGGCAAGCGUUGUCCGGAAUGACUGGGCGUAAAGCGCGCGCAGGCGGUCUUCUAUGUCUUGGGUGAAAGACCGGGGCUCAACCCCGGGGGUGCCUAGGAAACGGGAAGACUUGAGGAUCGGAGAGGCAAGGGGAAUUCCACGUGUAGCGGUGAAAUGCGUAGAUAUGUGGAGGAAUACCAGUGGCGAAGGCGCCUUGCUGGCCGAUGACUGACGCUGAGGCGCGAAGGCGUGGGGAGCAAACAGGAUUAGAUACCCUGGUAGUCCACGCGGUAAACGAUGAGUGCUAGGUGUUGGGGGUUUCGAUACCCGCAGUGCCGAAGGAAACCCAAUAAGCACUCCGCCUGGGGAGUACGGUCGCAAGACUGAAACUCAAAGGAAUUGACGGGGGCCCGCACAAGCAGUGGAGCAUGUGGUUUAAUUCGAAGCAACGCGAAGAACCUUACCAGGGCUUGACAUCGGCUUGACCGGAACAGAGAUGUUCCUUCCCUUCGGGGCAAGCUAGACAGGUGGUGCAUGGUUGUCGUCAGCUCGUGUCGUGAGAUGUUGGGUUAAGUCCCGCAACGAGCGCAACCCUUGAUCUGUGUUGCCAGCAUGUAAUGGUGGGCACUCACAGGUGACUGCCGAGGACAACUCGGAGGAAGGCGGGGAUGACGUCAAAUCAUCAUGCCCCUUAUGUCCUGGGCUACACACGUGCUACAAUGGGCGGAACAAAGGGGAGCAAAGCCGCGAGGUGGAGCGAAUCCGAUAAAACCGUUCGUAGUUCGAAUUGCAGGCUGCAACUCGCCUGCAUGAAGCCGGAAUUGCUAGUAAUCGCGGAUCAGCAUGCCGCGGUGAAUCCGUUCCCGGGCCUUGUACACACCGCCCGUCACACCACGAGAGUUGUUCACACCCGAAGUCGGUGAGGUAACCCGCAAGGGGGCUAGCCGCCGAAGGUGGGGACGAUGAUUGGGGUG
rnacentral:rRNA from 1 species